CACGGCGCACGGGUGCGUAACACGUGGGCAAUCUGCCCUUCGAUGGGGAAUAACCUCGCGAAAGCAAGGCUAAUUCCGCAUAACAUUCCGAUGACUAACGUUGUUGGAUUCAAAGCCGUAAGGCGUCGAAGGAGGAGCCCGCGCACGAUUAGCUAGUUGGUGAGGUAACGGCUCACCAAGGCUAUGAUCGUUAGCUGGUCUGAGAGGAUGGCCAGCCACACUGGAACUGAGACACGGUCCAGACUCCUACGGGAGGCAGCAGUGUGGAAUCUUGCACAAUGGGCGAAAGCCUGAUGCAGCGACGCCGCGUGGGGGAUGAAGCUUUUCGGAGUGUAAACCCCUUUCGACCCGGACGAAUGCCCCGCAAGGGGACUGACGGUACGGGUAUAAGAAGCCCCGGCUAACUACGUGCCAGCAGCCGCGGUAAGACGUAGGGGGCCAGCGUUGCUCGGAAUUACUGGGUGUAAAGGGUUCGUAGGCGGUGCGGCAAGUCGGGAGUGAAAUCUCUGGGCUCAACCCAGAGGCUGCUUCCGA
rnacentral:rRNA from 1 species